GUGCUAGUAUAGGGAGGGACUGAUGGUGGGCAGGGCCCUAGAACUCCCAAGAGUAUAUGCCCUUUGUCUUUUGCUACCAGGAUGAAUAGGGAAGGACCAUCAGGUGGGGGCAGGGCUGGGCAUAUCUGAGCUCAGACCCUCCUUGGGCCGGUCUUGCUGUGGUUGCUGUGGGGGCUGGGGGUGAGAUUCCUAGGUCACUGGAGUUGUGUACGUAGGAGGAUUACGGCUGCCUCUGCUGAGUCAUGCAGGUUGUCAUGGAAGCCGGGGAAAGCCGGCAGUCACAGGCCUCACCCAGCUGCUACACAAACCGAAGGGCUGGUCUCACUCCCACCGUGACCCCCUCAACAACCCCCAGACUGUAAGCGAUAUGAGGCUGUCUGCCUCCCAACUGCAUAAGAAAAGGGCUUGGUUCUUCCCCAGCCUGUGGAGUCUGCACAUCAGAUUUGCACCCUCCCCCGAGUUCUGGCCAGGGGGCUUCUCACUCCUUUCAAAUUGUUACAAAGUUCAGCUAGAGAUUUCCUUCUCUCUGUGUAGUUUUAUCCCCUGCUUCUCUCCCAUUGGAUCCCUGUGGUGCCAGGCAGGAAUGGCCUGCCAGGGGACCCCGCGAGCUCCCAGGGCCUUUCUGCUGCUUCCUCUACCCCAGUAUUUCGCUUGGCUCUCCAAAUUGACUCAGAUCCGGAUUCCUCACCUAUUCCUACCUCUUGGCCUUCAACGUGUGGCUUCUGCUUGCACCCGUGACCCUGUGCUAUGACUGGCAGGUCGGCAGUAUUCCUCUGGUAGAGACCAUAUGGGACAUGCGGAACUUAGCCACCAUCCUUCUGGCAGUUGUGAUAGCCUUAUUGAGCCUGCACUGCUUAGCAGCCUUUAAGAGACUGGAGCACAAGGAGGUUUUAGUCGGCUUGUUGUUCCUGGUGUUCCCGUUCAUUCCAGCCAGCAACCUCUUCUUCAGGGUGGGUUUUGUGGUGGCGGAGAGAGUCCUUUACAUGCCUAGCAUGGGCUACUGCAUCCUUUUUGUGCAUGGACUGAGCAAGCUCUGCACUUGGCUGAAUCGAUGUGGGGCCACCACCCUGAUUGUGUCCACUGUGUUGCUGCUGUUGCUUUUCUCUUGGAAAACUGUGAAACAGAAUGAAAUUUGGCUGUCAAGAGAGUCCCUAUUCAGGUCUGGAGUUCAAACUAUGCCCCACAAUGCCAAGGUUCACUACAACUAUGCCAAUUUCCUGAAGGACCAAGGUCGGAACAAGGAAGCGAUCUACCACUACAGAACAGCCCUCAAGUUGUAUCCACGCCAUGCAAGUGCGCUGAACAACCUUGGAACACUGACGAGAGACACAGCAGAGGCAAAGAUGUACUAUCAGAGGGCUCUCCAGCUGCAUCCACAGCAUAACCGGGCUCUUUUCAAUCUGGGGAAUCUCCUCAAGUCCCAGGAGAAAAAGGAAGAAGCUAUCACCUUACUGAAGGAUUCCAUCAAGUAUGGUCCAGAGUUUGCAGAUGCAUAUUCAAGCUUAGCUUCGUUAUUGGCUGAGCAGGAGCGGUUUAAAGAAGCUGAAGAAAUAUACCAAACUGGAAUAAAGAACUGUCCAGAUAGCUCAGAUUUACACAACAACUAUGGGGUUUUCUUAGUUGAUACUGGCUUACCAGAAAAGGCAGUGGCCCAUUACCAACAGGCCAUCAAACUUAGCCCCAGUCAUCACGUGGCCAUGGUGAACUUGGGAAGACUCUACAGGUCACUGGGAGAGAACAGCAUGGCUGAAGAAUGGUACAAGCGCGCUCUGCAGGUGGCACACAAAGCUGAGAUAUUGUCACCUUUGGGAGCACUGUAUUACAACACUGGCCGAUACGAAGAGGCUUUGCAGAUUUACCAGGAAGCUGCAGCACUUCAGCCUUCUCAGAGGGAGCUCCGCUUGGCACUGGCUCAGGUUUUGGCCAUGAUGGGUCAGACAAAAGAAGCUGAAAAAAUGACCAAUCACAUUGUGUCGGAGGAGACCGGAUGCCUUGAAUGCUAUCGCCUCUUGUCAGCCAUCUAUAGCAAGCAGGAGAACCACGACAAGGCACUUGAUGCUAUAGACAAGGCUCUCCAGCUGAAACCAAAGGACCCAAAAGUCAUUUCUGAACUUUUUUUCACAAAAGGAAACCAAUUAAGAGAGCAGAACCUUCUUGACAAAGCUUUUGAGAGCUAUAGAGUGGCUGUGCAACUAAAUCCAGACCAAGCACAGGCCUGGAUGAACAUGGGUGGCAUCCAACACAUCAAGGGAAAAUAUGUGUCUGCAAGAGCUUAUUAUGAGAGAGCCUUACAGCUGGUUCCAGACAGCAAACUGCUGAAGGAAAAUCUUGCCAAAUUGGAUCGCCUAGAAAAACGAUUACAAGAAGUUCGAGAAAAGGAUCAAACAUAGCACCGCCGUCUGACCCAACCUCAUAGGAUAAUGUGGUGCCUCUGAAAGGGGAGUGAUGGAAGCCAUGCUUUCACAUCAGCAGGGGCACAACUAAUGAGAUUUUCUCUCAUUCUGAGUUCAGGGUGACACAUUUUGGGACAUCUGCUGGUAGCCCAGUGCUGAAGGACUUGCUUUUCCAUGAAGAAGACGAAAACAGCAAACAAGGGCAAGAAGGUCUGAGAGGGAAGGAGAAUGACAUUUACACAUUUUACAGAUUUUUGUUUGGUUUAACUCCAGAUUUCUCUUGAUAUAUCUCUGUGCUUUUGAGACCUGGAGAUCUAAUUCUGUUUAGACAUUUUUUUGUCCCAGAAAUACAGAAGCUUGAAAUGCUAUGAAGGCAGAGCUUCUUUUCUUUAUGGGAUGAAAUAUUUUAAAAGAGGAUAAAUCCUCUGUGGUAAGCCAUUUGGAAAAUCCUACCAAGAAUUGGCUUAUUUAAUUCUCCAGAACCAGAAAUGAGUAUCUAAUAGCUUUUGUAGAACCUUCCAGAAUAUGUGAGGAAAAAGGGCUAUUGCUAAGUGAGCUUUAUCUAACAUCCCCCUAAGAGUUUUACUAGUGCUUUUUUGAGGAAAUAAAGGGAAGCUCCUGGAAUUGUAUAUGGAUAUCUUUAUCCCUAGGGGGAAAUCAAGGAGCUGGGCACCCCUAAUUCUUUAUGAAAGUGUUUAAAACUAUUUUAAUUUUAUUACAAGUAUUACUAGAGUAGUGGUUCUACUCUAAGAUUUCAAAAGUGCAUUUAAAAUCAUACAUGUUCCCGCCUGCAAAUAUAUUGUUAUUUUGGUGGAGAAAAAAUCGUAUAUUCUACAUAAAAGAAUUAAAGAUAUUAACUGAG
rnacentral:sRNA from 1 species